GGCUGGUAGUGGGUUAUCAGAACUUAUGAUCAUUAGUGUCACUAAAGUUCGUAUACAACCCCCCACUGCUAAAUUUGACUGGCUUAAU
ensembl:misc_RNA Y_RNA Y RNA